ACGAACGCUGGCGGCAUGCCUAACACAUGCAAGUCGAACGCUCGUAGCAAUACGGGAGUGGCGGACGGGUGAGUAACGCGUGGGAACCUACCCUGUGGUGGGGGAUAACCGAGGGAAACUUCGGCUAAUACCGCAUACGCCUUGGCAACGAGGGAAAGAUUUAUUGCCAUGGGAGGGGCCCGCGUCGGAUUAGCUAGUUGGUGAGGUAACGGCUCACCAAGGCGAUGAUCCGUAGCUGGUCUGAGAGGAUGGCCAGCCACACUGGGACUGCGACACGGCCCAGACUCCUACGGGAGGCAGCAGUGGGGAAUAUUGGACAAUGGGGGCAACCCUGAUCCAGCAAUGCCGCGUGAGUGAUGAAGGCCUUAGGGUUGUAAAGCUCUUUUGCCAGGGACGAUGAUGACGGUACCUGGAGAAUAAGCCCCGGCUAACUUCGU
rnacentral:rRNA from 1 species